rnacentral:rRNA from 1 species
GGGCCCGCACAAGCGGCGGAGCAUGUUGCUUAAUUCGAUGCAACGCGAAGAACCUUACCUAGGCUUGACAUGCACGGAAAUCUCGCAGAGAUGCGGGGUCCGUAAGGGCCGUGCACAGGUGGUGCAUGGUUGUCGUCAGCUCGUGUCGUGAGAUGUUGGGUUGAGUCCCGCAACGAGCGCAACCCUCGUUCCAUGUUGCCAGCACGUGAUGGUGGGGACUCAUAGGAGACUGCCGGGGUCAACUCGGAGGAAGGUGGGGAUGACGUCAAAUCAUCAUGCCCCUUAUGUCUAGGGCUGCAAACAUGCUACAAUGGCCGGUACAAAGGGCUGCGAUACCGCGAGGUGGAGCGAAUCCCAAAAAGCCGGUCUCAGUUCGGAUUGGGGUCUGCAACUCGACCCCAUGAAGUCGGAGUCGCUAGUAAUCGCAGA